GGGGGAUAUUGCGCAAUGGGGGCAACCCUGACGCAGCAACGCCGCGUGAAGGAUGAAGGUUUUCGGAUUGUAAACUUCUUUUAUUAAGGACGAAAAAUGACGGUACUUAAUGAAUAAGCUCCGGCUAACUACGUGCCAGCAGCCGCGGUAAUACGUAGGGAGCAAGCGUUGUCCGGAUUUACUGGGUGUAAAGGGUGCGUAGGCGGCUUUGCAAGUCAGAUGUGAAAUCUAUGGGCUCAACCCAUAAACUGCAUUUGAAACUGUAGAGCUUGAGUGAAGUAGAGGCAGGCGGAAUUCCCCGUGUAGCGGUGAAAUGCGUAGAGAUGGGGAGGAACACCAGUGGCGAAGGCGACCUACUGGGCACCAACUGACGCUGAGGCUCGAAAGCAUGGGUAGCAAACAGGAUUAGAUACCCUGGUAGUCCAUGCCGUAAACGAUGAUUACUAGGUGUUGGAGGAUUGACCCCUUCAGUGCCGCAGUUAACACAAUAAGUAAUCCACCUGGGGAGUACGACCGCAAGGUUGAAACUCAAAGGAAUUGACGGGGGCCCGCACAAGCAGUGGAGUAUGUGGUUUAAUUCGAAGCAACGCGAAGAACCUUACCAGGUCUUGACAUCCGAUGCAUAGCUUAGAGAUAAGUGAAGUCCUUCGGGACAUCGAGACAGGUGGUGCAUGGUUGUCGUCAGCUCGUGUCGUGAGAUGUUGGGUUAAGUCCCGCAACGAGCGCAACCCUUAUUGCCAGUUACUACGAAAGAGGACUCUGGCGAGACUGCCGUUGACAAAACGGAGGAAGGUGGGGAUGACGUCAAAUCAUCAUGCCCUUUAUGACCUGGGCUACACACGUACUACAAUGGCGUUUAACAAAGAGAAGCAAGACCGCGAGGUGGAGCAAAACUCAAAAACAACGUCUCAGUUCAGAUUGCAGGCUGCAACUCGCCUGCAUGAAGUCGGAAUUGCUAGUAAUCGCGGAUCAGCAUGCCGCGGUGAAUACGUUCCCG
rnacentral:rRNA from 1 species